rnacentral:rRNA from 1 species
UACGAAGGGGGCGAGCGUUGUUCGGAAUUACUGGGCGUAAAGGGCGCGUAGGCGGCGACUCAAGUUAGAUGUGAAAGUCCUGGGCUUAACCUGGGGACUGCAUUUGAUACUGAUUGGCUUGAAUUCGGGAGAGGAUAGCGGAAUUCCCAGUGUAGAGGUGAAAUUCGUAGAUAUUGGGAAGAACACCAGUGGCGAAGGCGGGCACCUGGGCUAACACUGACGCUGAUGCGCGAAAGGCUGGGGGAGCGAACGGG